UUGUGUUCACCACAAUAAUUCCCAAAUCCCACACAAUCAUUCUCUCAUCUCCUCUCAAAUCACCUUCCAACAUAUGAAUGAGUUUCCAUCUGCAAGUUCAAAAACCCUAAUUUCCAUCUUCUUGACCUGACAAUGUUUUCAUCUCCAUAACGCAUCUUCUUCUCCAUCACGCAUUCUUUAAAAAAUUGCAAGAUGCUCUUGAUUCAAUCGCAAGAGAUCUAAAUGAGGGCUUUUCAUCGAUCACUGUUAACGAAGACGAUGAAGAUAUUUGCUUAGUUAUGGUGAUGGCGUAGUAGCGGAUGGCUCUGACAAAAUUAAACCUUGAGGUAUGGUGACAUCAAAAGUUGGGAAGCGGUAUGCUUUUACAGGAUUUUUGAAGCACUGUAAGAGUUGUUCAUAUCAAGGUUGGCACUCCUGCUCCUAUGUGGGAGUAUUGGUAGUUAACUGAUUGGCCUUUGUCUUUACUAAUCUGAUUCGGAAUUGCAGUUUUGUAACUUCAAAAUUAAUUAGGUUAUUGUUUAUAGUAUGGUCUAAACUUGCUUAUCAUGAACGUUCUUUUGAUUGUGUAUAUUUAGAUUUGGUGGUGAAAUCGCACUAUUAUGCGGUUUCAUGAGGAUGCAAUGAAGAAGUCUGCUAUAUGAGAAUAUCAAAACUACCAGUUCCACUUUUGGUCAAAACAUUUUUAUUAUAUGUACAGAUGGUUGGAAAGGUUUUAGCUGUUAAAAAAACUUUUUAUAUGUAUGAAGCUGUCUCCAAGAAGCAGACAACGCUGGCAGUAACAGUCUUAUGGGAUUAAUGAGAAAUUGAAAGCAUUGCAGACUUUGGUUCCAAAUUCUAACAAGACUGAUAAGGCUUCAAUGUUGGAUGAAGCUAUUGAGUAUCUGAAGCAACUUCAACUGAAAGUACAGACCCUUACCAUGCGAAACAGGUUUGAUUUGCCACCUGUUUAUGCACAAGAACAAGGAAUGCAAAGGGGAAUGGGAAUUGGAAUUGAAAUGGGAAUGGGAAAAUAUGGGAAUGGGAAAAGGAUACGAGGGAAUUGGAAUGGGUUACAAUAAAUUUCCAAACACAUGUGAAGGGUUCUCAGCGCGAUGGGAAGUUGGUAUUAUGUCCAACCACAUCGGCAAGCUGUCAUCAACCAACAUGGUGAAAUCAGAUCCCGGUUUUUGCUCAGAACUUGCAAAUGUGAAACAAUACGAAUUUGCCAAUCAUUCGACAUCAAUUAAGGUAGGUUGCAUGGUGCUUGGAACACUUAAAAGAGAUCCCUAUGCAUGGUUCAUGCUUAAAGUAUUACUUGAACAAUUCCAUAUUUGUAUUGGUUGAAUUAUAUAUUUCUAAGACCAGUAGAUUAGAAAUAUAUGUAUGUAAAUUUCAUGCUAAUCCUUUACUUUUCAAGUCACA